GACGAACGCUGGCGGCGUGCUUAACACAUGCAAGUCGAACGGAAAGGCCCUGCUUUCAGUGUACUCGAGUUGCGAACGGGCGAGUAACACGUGGGUGAUCUGCCCUGCACUUCGGGAUAAGCUUGGUAAACUAGGUCUAAUACCGGAUAGGAACCAUCUUUAGUGUGGUGGUUGGAAAGUUUUUUCGGUGUAGGAUGAGCUCGCGGCCUAUCAGCUUGUUGGUUGGGUAAUUGCCUACCAAGGCGGCGACGUGUAGCCGGCCUGAGAGGGUGUACGGCCACAGUGGGACUGAGAGGAGGCCCAGACUCCGACGGGAGGGAGAAGUGGGGAAGAUUGCAGGAGGGGCGCCGGGCGGAUGCAGAGAGGCCGCGGGGGGGAUGAAGGUCUUAGGGUUGAAAAAUAAUUUCGCUAGGGACGAAGCUUUGUUGUGACGGUACCUAGAUAAGAAGCACCGGCUAACUACGU
rnacentral:rRNA from 1 species